rnacentral:lncRNA from 1 species
AGACUGCCUGUCAGCUUUCCAUGGUGGCAUCGGUAACAUUUGUCAACAUGCUUGUUGUUUCUCCGGCAUGAUGUGUGUCUGUGUAGAAAGGACCAGGGAGCGUCUUAUCCAUGGAAGUUAAAAUGGAUGGGGUUAGUCUGCAUCUCUGUAGUUCUCUGCAGGGAGGUGUGCAGGAAGACCCCAGCCUCCUCGACCCAGAGACAUCAGAGCUCUGCCAAGGGUUCAGAGGCUGCAAACAGGAAAUGCAAGGAUGGCAGAUGGAGCAGAGACUGAGGGAAUGGCCAACCAAUAACCAGCCCAACUUGAGACCCACCCCAUGGGCCCAUGAUGUGCAGAUUUGAACAAGGCACCUCACACCUCCAAGGCUUACUUUUCUCCUCUCGACAACCAGGCCAAGUAUCAGAGCCUUGGGAAGGUUUCUACAGAGAACUACAUACAUGAAAAUUCUGUGUCUGACCUUCAGUCCUCAGUUCUUCCUUUGCAAAAUUGGGAGAAGUCCUGUCCAGCCCAGUUGGUGGAAGGGUUAUGUAACUACAUUCGUGUGAUCGCCAAUGGCAAGAAUCUCACUGAUUAGUCUCUGCUGAGCACUUUGUCCCGCAGCAGCCACUGCUGGCUUGUUUUGUUCUGUUUUCCUUUGCUUUGAAACAGGGCCUUCUGCUGGGGAACAGGGAACAGGAGUACAGGGAAGAUAAUUAGCAGGCCUGCAAAUUAGCCCAGCAGGUUAAGAGCUUACCAUGUAAGCCUGCCAAUCUGAGUUUGACUGCAGAACCCAUGUAAAGGUGGAAAGAGAGAACUGAUGCCUGAGAGUUCACUGAUACACACACAACUACACUAUGCAAAAACAAAUAAAUAUUUAAUUCUCAUCACUUGGGAGCUGGAGACAAGAGGAUCGGGAGUUCAAGGCUAUCCUAGUCUCUCUAAGUGAAUUCCAGGCCAGCCCUGGCUACAUAGAAAGACCUUAUUUCAAAAUAACAGCUGGAGUUGCGGCACUUGGGAGUCAGAAGCCGAAGCCCGCAGAUCACUGAGUUCAAGGCAAGUCUGCUUUGCAUAUCGAGUUCUAUGAUAGCCAAGGCUACAUAAUGAGACCCUGUC